rnacentral:rRNA from 1 species
UACCAGCACCCCGAGUGGUCGGGACGUUUUAUUGGGCCUAAAGCAUCCGUAGCCGGUUCUACAAGUCUUCCGUUAAAUCCAACUGCUUAAACAGGUGGGCUGCGGAAGAUACUAUAGAGCUAGGAGGCGGGGAGAGGCAAGCGGUACUCGAUGGGUAGGGGUAAAAUCCUUGAUCCAUUGAAGACCACCAGUGGCGAAGGCGGCUUGCCAGAACGCGCUCGACGGUGAGGGAUGAAAGCUGGGGGGAGCAAACCGG